rnacentral:rRNA from 1 species
GCCGUCUACUCUUGGCCAGCCUUCUGAAAGGAAGAUUAAUACAAGAUGGCAUCAUGAGUCCGCAUGUUCACAUGAUUAAAGGUAUUCCGGUAGACGAUGGGGAUGCGUUCCAUNAGAUAGUAGGCGGGGUAACGGCCCACCUAGUCUUCGAUGGAUAGGGGUUCUGAGAGGAAGGUCCCCCACAUUGGAACUGAGACACGGUCCAAACUCCUACGGGAGGCAGCAGUGAGGAAUAUUGGUCAAUGGGCGAGAGCCUGAACCAGCCAAGUAGCGUGAAGGAUGACUGCCCUAUGGGUUGUAAACUUCUUUUAUAAAGGAAUAAAGUCGGGUAUGGAUACCCGUUUGCAUGUACUUUAUGAAUAAGGAUCGGCUAACUCCGUGCCAGCAGCCGCGGUAAUACGGAGGAUCCGAGCGUUAUCCGGAUUUAUUGGGUUUAAAGGGAGCGUAGAUGGAUGUUUAAGUCAGUUGUGAAAGUUUGCGGCUCAACCGUAAAAUUGCAGUUGAUACUGGAUAUCUUGAGUACAGUAGAGGCAGG